rnacentral:rRNA from 1 species
UACGUAGGGUGCGAGCGUUGUCCGGAAUUAUUGGGCGUAAAGGCUCGUAGGCGGUCUGUUGCGUCGGGAGUGAAAACUCAGGGCUUAACCCUGAGCCUGCUUCCGAUACGGGCAGACUAGAGGUAUGCAGGGGAGAACGGAAUUCCUGGUGUAGCGGUGAAAUGCGCAGAUAUCAGGAGGAACACCGAUGGCGAAGGCAGGUCUCUGGGCUGUAACUGACGCUGAGGAGCGAAAGCAUGGGGAGCGAACAGG